rnacentral:rRNA from 1 species
UACGGGGGGAGCAAGCGUUGUUCGGAUUUACUGGGCGUAAAGGGCGCGUAGGCGGCCAGCACAAGUCAGUUGUGAAAUCUCCGAGCUUAACUCGGAAAGGUCAACUGAUACUGUGCGGCUAGAGUGCGGAAGGGGCAACUGGAAUUCUCGGUGUAGCGGUGAAAUGCGUAGAUAUCAAGAGGAACACCUGCGGCGAAGGCGGGUUGCUGGGCCGACACUGACGCUGAUGCGCGAAAGCUAGGGGAGCGAACGGG